rnacentral:rRNA from 1 species
CCUACGGGAGGCAGCAGUGGGGAAUUUUGGACAAUGGGCGCAAGCCUGAUCCAGCCAUGCCGCGUGCGGGAAGAAGGCCUUCGGGUUGUAAACCGCUUUUGUCAGGGAAGAAAAGGUUCUGGAUAAUACCUGGGACUCAUGACGGUACCUGAAGAAUAAGCACCGGCUAACUACGUGCCAGCAGCCGCGGUAAUACGUAGGGUGCAAGCGUUAAUCGGAAUUACUGGGCGUAAAGCGUGCGCAGGCGGUUAUGCAAGACAGAGGUGAAAUCCCCGGGCUCAACCUGGGAACUGCCUUUGUGACUGCAUAGCUAGAGUACGGUAGAGGGGGAUGGAAUUCCGCGUGUAGCAGUGAAAUGCGUAGAUAUGCGGAGGAACACCGAUGGCGAAGGCAAUCCCCUGGACCUGUACUGACGCUCAUGCACGAAAGCGUGGGGAGCAAACAGGAUUAGAUACCCUGGUAGUCCACGCCCUAAACGAUGUCAACUGGUUGUUGGGAGGGUUUCUUCUCAGUAACGAAGCUAACGCGUGAAGUUGACCGCCUGGGGAGUACGGCCGCAAGGUUGAAACUCAAAGGAUUGACGG